rnacentral:lncRNA from 1 species
AGCAAAACAAAUGAAAGGUGGUUUCCUCUUGCUGGAGGGGAUUCUCUGAAGGCUAACCCUGCGUCCCACUAAUAGAGUCCCUCCUGCCGGUCUGCUCCUUCUGUUUCAGUGAAAUCCAUAAGUAUGUGGUACCAGUGAAAUCUCUGCUUUUCAGUCACAUUUGAUUGAAAUUGGCCAAAAGCUUCUGGGGAGAUGGAGGCCAGACAGGCCAAUUCAUUAAACACACAUUGUAACUGAGUGAAUCUUGUGUUAUUAGGCAACCAGGCUAAAAAUACUGAUGGGGUUUGUCUCAACAGAAGCCAUUUUCCCUCUGGGUUGUAGGCUGUUCCUUCGAGUGGUGCCACACCGAAUCUGUCCCUCCAGUUGGAGUGCUCACAGCUAGAGCGAUCAUUUGAAGAGCUCAGCAGGGAAACUCACAUAUCACCUGCUUGUUUGAAGGCUGAUUCCAACCACCGCUAUCAGCUUGCGCUUUCAGCAACACUAAAGGCUCUCUACAGUGUUGCCAGGCUUCAUGGAGGUCUCCUGAGCAAUAACAGCAAUCGAGGGUGGCACGUGUGUAAAGAAAAUGCUUACUCUUACUGUGAGAAUGGGUGGUAAAGUGGCUGCACUGAGUGCCGUGUGCCACUAACGACUCUUUGCUAAAGUGAG